GAAAUGCGAUACUUAAUGUGAAUUGCAACCCCCUGUGAAUCAUCGAGUUUUUGAACGUAAAUUACACCUUUUCGGAUGUCUAAAAACAUUGCGAAAGGGUAUACAUUUUUAAGAGUAUCGAAAAAAAAGAUCCAAAUCUUUCAUUUGGAGUAAUAACGGUCAAUAUUUUUGGGUUUGGUUCAGUGGUAUAAUGGAACUAUCAUCUACUUUUUAGGGAUGGUGGGGCUUUGAUUGCACUUUUUAGGGUUUUCAUUGCUCUUUUGUAUUGAGUAACCUUACUUUGAAGUUGAUCGAAAGACUUGAUAGAUCAUUAUCAGUUUUACUUUUUAUGAUGGACUUUAAGAAUGUAUGGAAACCUGCUGAAUUUAA
rnacentral:misc_RNA from 1 species